CAAACCAUUUGUGUUUUCUUUCAUUUUCAAUGUCUCUUUCUCUCAUGAAGAGGAGGAGGAGUCUCUUCUCUUUAUAUCAGUAACUAACUUCAUGCUGUGUUUCCAGUCGUCUCCUUCUCUGUCGUACAUGAACGCUCUACAUUUAUUAAAUAUAACAUGAGGAUGACCAGGAUCUCCUGCUCCGUGUCUCUGGUGGUGGUUACUUUUCUGUGGAUGAUGAUUCUUAUCAGAGGAGAGACUGAGGUGUCCUGUGUUUUCAUGGAAAGAUGCAUCUUACCAUGUAGUUCCAUGAAUUUUCAUGAAGUAGUCAUCCACUGGUUUCUGAUGAAAUCUGGAUUCCUACGUGUCCACUCGUUCUACAACAACCAAGACCAGCUGGGACACCAGGACCAGAACCUCAGAGGCAGGACGUCACUGUUCAAGGGUCAGAUCUCCAGAGGAAACGCCUCCGCAUUCAUCCUCUUGUCAUUUAACAGAUCUACAGAAGGUUGAGUGAAACAGUGGCUUUAAAUGAUCAACAGGUCACAUCUGGAUCCAACCAACAAGUCAACAACUGAUGGAGACUCUGAUCAAACUGACCACUCCAAGUCAGAGUGACUUUGUUAAAUGAAGCUGUGACCUGAGGAUGAAAUGAUACUGUGAGGCAUUUACACUAACAGGGGGAUCUGUAGAACCACUACCUCUACUGCAGCUCACUGCUCUGAGUCUACACACUACUGGGAGAACAAAUGAAUGGAUGCAGGAAAAUAAUUUCAGCCAAAGGCAGUGAUUCCCAGCCUGUGGGAUGUGGCCACCUGGUGGGCCGCCAAGGUAUUGCAAGUGGGCCAUCAAAUCAUCUCAUCUUCUACUACUGCUCAUCCUCACUAGGGAGAUUGUAUAUCAAACACCAACACCAUGACAGAUAAUAUGAUCUACUGCAGUUUUGUUUGAUUUUAAAGGGAAAGGGCCAUAAGUAAGAGUGCCGUAUUUUAACUUAGUUUCUCUGAUGUUAUUGCGUUUACUUAAACUGAAGCUUCAUCUGGUUAGACCUGAGUAGAAUUUACAUCAUUUUGUAUCGAUUUAAUGUGCUUCUUUUGACAUUUGAAUUUUGUUUGGAUCUGAAACUUGAUGUCAAAUUGUUAUAUAUUUGAAUUCAUUUUUCCAUUCUUAAAGGAUACCGUUAUUUAAAUUAAUCAUCUGGUAAUUAGCCUGAUACAGACAGCCCCUUGCUUAUCAUUUCUGAUAUCUGUGUGGUGCUGAUGGACAGUUCCUAGAAUGAUUGAUAUCUGUGUGGUGCUGAUGGACAGCUCCUAGAAUGAUUGAUAUCUGUGUGGUGCUGAUGGACAGCUCCUAGAAUGAAUGAUAUCUGUGUGGUGCUGAUGGACAGCUCCUAGAAUGAUUGAUAUCUGUGUGGUGCUGAUGGACAGCUCCUGGAAUGAUUGAUAUCUGUGUGGUGCUGAUGGACAGCUCCUUGAAAACUGUAAUACAAGUUUUUACAGUAGAGUACACGUCUGUGGAGCUUCCAACACGUUUCUCUGUAUUCAGUUCAGUCCUUUAUGUUCAAUCUUCAAUAAAAAAGUGCUCUGAGAACACA